rnacentral:lncRNA from 1 species
UUUCUUUUUUUGCCAAACAGUUCCAAUUGCAUGUUAUUGGAAUUCAAGAGAACCACCACAAUAUUCAAAUAUUCCUAAUGAUCAUGUCCAAUAAGUGAAAUUUCCAACAAAGUAGGAAACUUUCCAUAUUCAUGCAACUUAACUUCUGUAUAAGGAGCUCUCUUGCAUGCAGAGAUUUUCUCUCCUCUCUUUGCUUUUCACAUGGUAUCAAAGUUUCAAUGAUCUUUGUAGAGACCCAAUUAACGUUCGCUUACUGGAGGAGGCUUUACAUCGUCGCCCAACCAAAGUUUUUCUCUUUAUAUAACAUUACUAUUCUGGUCCAUUUCCUACCAUGUUUUCUGACAUCUUUUUCCGUGGUUUAUUCUAUGUGCCUCAUGCAACAUGAAUUGUCAAGGGCUAAUGCUAUCCUUCCACCUCAUUUGACCCACAAGCCAAUACUACACAUUUGUCUAGUUAGAACACAUUUGUCUAGUUAUGAAACUAUGUCAACCAACAUAUCACAUUAGUAAUAUAAGUCAAUUGACAGUCAAGUCAGUAGUCUACAUUGUUCCAGUUAGAAGCCCACGUCAGCUGACCUUUUGAGUCAACAACCACUUCAUCCCCAUUUGUGUCAUGUCUUUGUGCAGAAAAGAAACUAUCAUGGCCAAGCUAGCAUGAUAUCAUCAUACAUGUCUUCAAGUUUGGUCAUAUCUCAUGAUUUUAUGGUAGCGCCACCGCUUAAUCUUAUGGCAACACCAAGUCAAUUUUGUUCUGGCAAUACUGUUUCAAUAAUAUUAUCCAAACUGCUGUUCCUUCAACAGUAACUUUUUCCAACAUACUCAACUUGAAUUUCUAAUUUUUAUUUGCAAACUGAAGUUGUUAGACCACCUUGAGUUUGACGGGACGUGCAAUAGAAACUUGUGUUUGAUAAAAAGCAAAUGAUUCUUUAUAAACCAUAAAAACCAACAAAGUGGAACCUCCCCCAUUAAAGUCCAACUAUGCACAUGCCAUUUAUAAUUGAAGGUGAAUUCCUAUACGUAGUGAGACCGCAAAUUUGCCUGAGUUAAAUAGGAACAUGUAUGUCCCUAGACAUUCUAACUUUCUCGAGCAAUUACGAGACAGAAGUAAGCUUUUUGUUUUUUUUUUUUUUUUUUUGAGAAGGUAACAACAAGAGCGAAGUAAGCUUGAAGAAACUGAAAUGAUCAAAAGCGAAUUAGUAGCUUUUUGGAGUUAAGCAAAAGUAUCACAAAUGGAACAUGCUGCUAGCACAACCUUGAUCUUGAGAGAAGGUGAAUUUGGCUAUAGUAGCAUGAAUAAUUCAUUAGUAGUCAUUGCUCAAGUAGCACUCCUUUCUUUCCAAGUUACAGCUCAUGGCACUAUUUAUCGUGGUCAACAAAAGAGAAAAGCUUAACCUUUUCUUGUUCAAAUUCAUCUUCAACAGUUCUCCUAAUACUAUUCUAAAGCAAUCCAUGAUAUUCUAUAUGGAUGAAGGAAAUUGUAGCAGAUGUACAAAAUUAAAUUAUGUUGUUUCCUUUGGUCAGAAACUUAAGCAUCUUCAACCAACACUUCAAUAAGUAAGCAACUUAAGGUAAGCUACACAUGGCGCACAAAAUUAAAGACAACAUUUCCCCGAGAAAGGGACAUAAGAAGGCCGAGUUUACAAGCAAUCUAUGUUCGCAAAGGUUGAGGUCCACUAAAUGGGUACAAAGUACUUGGAUUGACACAUUAGUUUUGUUUUAUAGAUCAAUUGGCACACCAGUAAAGCCUAGUAUAGUCGCAAAUGUAACUAAGCUAGAUGUCGGUUAAUCGGGCAACAUGCUUAUCAAGUGAUACAAAUACUUGAUUACACAAUGAAGCAAACAUCUAAAUUUGAGAACGCUGGACAAAGGAUAUGAUGCAAGUGCAUGGUUACAAUAGUCGAAAGGUAUUAGAUAUCAAGCAACUGCUAAAGCAUACAGGGAAGAGACAAAACAAUACAGACAUAACAGGGGAAACACCCCCGAAUAGUACGAUCUGGGAGAUAAGAAACUAGUUAGAAGAUGCCAAUAUACAUUUCAGUAACACAUAACGGUUCACAAUUUCUUUGCUGAAGGCGCUGUUAAGCCCUAAGUUUGAAUUCCAAUUUAAUUGCCCUUAUUCCGAAAGUCUAAAGUCCUUCCAAUUUUCACCAAAAGUGGAACCUCCCCCAUUAAAGUC